rnacentral:misc_RNA from 1 species
UCCGGCUUAUCGCCGACAGUCUCCUUAGGGUUCUCGACUUGCUCGUUAGCAACUAAGGAUAAGGGUUGCGCUCGUUGCGGGACUUAACCCAACAUCUCACGACACGAGCUGACGACAGCCAUGCAGCACCUCUAGAGGGGUCCUCGAAAGGACUCGGACAUCUCUGCCCGAUGCUCCUCCAGUUCAAGCCCAGGUAAGGUUCUUCGCGUUGCGUCGAAUUGAACCACAUGCUCCACCGCUUGUGCGGGCCCCCGUCAAUUCCUUUGAGUUUCAGACUUGCGACCGUACUCCCCAGGCGGGAUACUUAAUGCGUUAGCUUCGGCACGGAGGGAUUAACCCCCCCACACCCAGUAUCCAUCGUUUACAGCCAGGACUAC